ACUGCUCAGUAACACGUGGACAAUCUAACCUACGGAGGGGGAUAACCCCGGGAAACUGGGGAUAAUACCCCAUAGACUAUGGAUGCUGGAAUGCUUUGUAGUCGAAAGGUCCGCCGCCGUAGGAUGGGUCUGCGGCCGAUUAGGUUGUUGUUGGGGUAACGGCCCAACAAGCCUGUAAUCGGUACGGGUUGUGGGAGCAAGAGCCCGGAGAUGGAUUCUGAGACAUGAAUCCAGGCCCUACGGGGCGCAGCAGGCGCGAAAACUUUACAAUGCGGGAAACCGUGAUAGGGGAACUCUGAGUGCCCGUUAAAUCGGGCUGUCCAUCAGUUUAAAUAACUGGUGAAGAAAGGGCCGGGCAAGACCGGUGCCAGCCGCCGCGGUAAUACCGGCGGCUCGAGUGGUGGCCACUAUUACUGGGCUUAAAGCGUUCGUAGCUGGUUUGUUAAGUCUCUGGGGAAAUCUUCCGGCUUAACCGGAAGGCGUCUCAGGGAUACUGGCAGACUAGGGACCGGGAGAGGUGAGGGGUACUUCAGGGGUAGGAGUGAAAUCCUGUAAUCCUUGGGGGACCACCUGUGGCGAAGGCGCCUCACCAGAACGGCUCCGACAGUGAGGGACGAAAGCUGGGGGAGCAAACCGGAUUAGAUACCCGGGUAGUCCCAGCUGUNAAACGAUGCGCGUUAGGUGUAUCGAUGACCACGAGUCAUCGAGGUGCCGAAGAGAAAUCGUGAAACGUGCCGCCUGGGAAGUACGGUCGCAAGGCUGAAACUUAAAGGAAUUGGCGGGGGAGCAC
rnacentral:rRNA from 1 species